GCCAGCAUGGUGCAAUGGUUUGAGCACUGGACUAUGACUCUGGAGACCAGGGUUCAAAUCUUUGCUUAGGCA
rnacentral:tRNA from 1 species